GUGGGGAAUUUUGGACAAUGGGCGCAAGCCUGAUCCAGCAAUGCCGCGUGAGUGAAGAAGGCCUUCGGGUUGUAAAGCUCUUUCAGUCGAGAAGAAAAGGUUGUGACUAAUAAUCAUAACUCAUGACGGUAUCGACAGAAGAAGCACCGGCUAACUACGUGCCAGCAGCCGCGGUAAUACGUAGGGUGCGAGCGUUAAUCGGAAUUACUGGGCGUAAAGGGUGCGCAGGCGGUUCUGUAAGUCAGAUGUGAAAUCCCCGGGCUUAACCUGGGAACUGCGUUUGAAACUACAGAGCUAGAGUGUGGCAGAGGGGGGUGGAAUUCCAUGUGUAGCAGUGAAAUGCGUAGAGAUAUGGAAGAACAUCGAUGGCGAAGGCAGCCCCCUGGGUUAACACUGACGCUCAUGCACGAAAGCGUGGGGAGCAAACAGGAUUAGAAACCCCAGUAGUCC
rnacentral:rRNA from 1 species